CUUAAGCAGCUCAGUGAUCUCAAUGUUGUUCCAACAUGUGGCAUCAUAUGCCCCAAGUAGCCUCUUAAGGCAAAGUGUAUCUGUUUAUGUGUGAUCCAGUCCCUGAUCAUUCGCAUGAAAGCGAAUAAGGCCUCAUUGUAAUGCAAGGUAUUAGAUCCCUUUGCAACUCAUAGUGCCAUAAAUCAGAGCCCUGUGGUUGACUUGGCCCUUCAGUUUCAUCUGCAAUAACAAUUGAAGCUCUGUCUUCAGAACUGAACUGGAUACAUAGCUAAAGUCAACCCAGGGAGUGACUGCUUUUCUCUGGCAUUAUAUCUUCAUUUCCCCCAUAAUUCAUUUGAACAGGAAUUUCUGUGGCUUAAGCCAAGAAAUAGCAGCCCAUUCACAUUUGUAAAUGCUCCUGCAUAGCUAUAAUUAUAUCUUUAAUAAUUGGGCCCUAGCAAUGUUUUAGUUUUAUGCCCAUCAGUAUUUCAUGCUUAAAUGAAUGAAAAGUUUCAUAUUUUCAUUUCUUCCUUCAACAAACAUUGACUGGUCAUUUGCUAUUUCAGGCACUGUGUUGGGAGUAAGCAAUGUGGAGUCAUCUCUUCCCCCAGAGAAACGCUGACAAGUAUUAGCUCACAGACAUGUGUGCACAAAGAUGGAUGCUCACAGUUGUCCGUUGGAGCACUGUUUGAAGCAGCAAAAGGAACCAAUUCAACUUUCCCUGAGUAGGAAAAUGGCUAAAUAAAUGGUAACUUAUUCACAGAAGGGAAUAUAAUACAGCUGUUAAAAUCAUGAAAAAAGGUACAUAUUAUACCAUGAAUAAAUCUCAAAAACAUCAGUUCUAAAAAAAAGAAAGUAGCUAAAGUAUCCACCCAGCCUGAUACCAUUUACAUAGACCUUAAAGAUCCAAUACAUGCAAUAGUAUAUCUUGAUCAGGAAUUUGUAUGUGUGAAAUAAAAUUACAAAAACAUGCUGUAAGAUGGGCAUUUCCUCUGAAAAGGAAAGCAUGAGGGAAGUAUGGGGGUGAGGCUUUAUCUGGUCGGUAACAUUACUUUUUUUAAAGAAGAAAGAUGAAGCCAAAUAGACAAACUAUCAAUUUUUGCUUAAUUUUGGUGGUGGGUACUUAAGUGUCAGUUAUAUAUUUUUUUCUGCAUGAAAUAUUUUAACAUGAAAACAACAUUUAAAUAAAAAACACAGAGGCAUUAUCUGUGAGUAUAAUAGCUCACAUUUUAGUGAGGAAGAGAAACAAGCAAACUAAGAGUGGUUUGAUAAAUGCUGAUAACACAAAAGACAGGGCAGCUGCUGGCAGCUCCGCCUGGGGGCUUGGGAGGACCUGUUGGAAGAGGUAAUGGUUGACUGAAAUGUUGAAAAGCCGCAUGGAGUUAGGAGGACAGGUUGGAGAGGAACAUCCCAGGAAGAGAACAGAGCCAUUGUUGAUAUCUCCAUAAUGGUAGAAUAAUAACACACAUUACUAAAAAUUUAUCUUGCUAACCAAGGCCAAGACUCCCCUGGGUUGGAGAUAAGAUAAGCUCCCCUUUCAGCAGCAUCAGAGGCUGCUCAGGGCCUGUGACAUACCCUUGGAGAAGAAUCCUCCAUAUGCAAAGUGGUCUAAUGGUUAACUUCUAAAAGAAAAUAGCUGAAUCUGAUGGCACUAUGGGCCAACUACCACUUCUAAGAACUUUACCUGUUUUGACUCACUUAAACAGCCCCCUGAGGAAGGUACUAUUAUAGUCAUCCAAUUUACAGAUGGGGAAACUGAGGCACAGAGAAGUGAAAUAAUUUGCUCCCAGAUACUCAGCUAUAAGGGGCAGAGCCAAGAUUUAAACCCAGACAGUCUGGCUUUACAGUCUCAUGCAAGGUCCCCAGAAGGUCUCUCUCCUGGGUCCUGAGAUAUUACAUUGCCUGGGCUCUCAAUACAGCAUUGAGCUUAGCUGCCUUGGUUCCAGGCCCUCGCCUUCUGGAUUCAACCCAGCUACAAAAACCCUCAGCCCUGACUGUUCAUUCAAUGCCUGGCUCCCAAUUUCCAGCAAGCCCUUUCUGCCUUGACUCCAUCUGCCCCGGCUCUUGAGCUGCUCAUGCCUGAACCCCAUCCCAUGCCUGCCCCACGCCCUCUCCUGCCUCCUGUCUUACAGCUUGCCAUCCUGCCCACCUGAGGCUCUGCCUACUGACAUGCUAUUCCCAGGACAAGACCAGCUUCCAGGACAAGCACUGCACUCAGAAGCCAUGUCAUUCAAAUCAGGGGCAGGCUUGUUAGGGUCAAAAAUGGUCCAAAUUCUGGGGAUGUCAUUUGAAAAAAGACUGUUUUCAGGAAACAAUCUUCCUAUCUGUGGUGAUUUUAAAAAUAUAGUUCUCAAAUUGUGUGUAGGAAAGGAAAGUAGCAAUAUGGGUGCAGGAAGAGCAUGACUGUGUGGAUAAAAAGAUGAUGUAUGCACAUGAACAUGCAGAACUGAGAACUCAGGUUAAGUUACAGCAAGAUAUGGCAGGUACUGUGGUUUGAAUGUGUUCCCCAAAGUUCCUGUGUUGGAAACUAAAUCUUCAAUGCAACAGCAGGACCUUCAAGAGGUGAUUGGGUCAUGAGAGUUCUGCACUCGUGAAUGGAUUAAUGUCAACAUCAUGUGAGUAAUAGGUUUAAUAAUUGGGCCCUAGUGAUGUUUUAGUUCUAUGCCCAUCACUAUUUCAUGCUUAAAUGAAUGAAAAGUUUCAUAUUUUCAUUUCUUUCUCCCCUAUCUUUCUCAUGCACACAUGCACUCUCUUUCCCUUCCAUCUUUCACACCAUGGGACAACACAGCAAGAAGCCCCUUGCCAGAAGCAAGCCUCAUGACUUAGGACUUUCCAGCCUCCAGAAUUCUGGGCAUGGUGGCUCACACCUGUAAUCCCAGCACUUCGGGAGGCCCAGGUGGGCGGAUCACCUGAGGUCAGGAGUUUGAAACCAGCCUGAGCAACAUGGUGAAACCCCAUCUCUACUACAAAUACAAAAAUUAGCUGGGUGUGGUGGCUUGCAUCUGUAAUUCCAGCUACUAGGGAGGCAGAGGAAGAAGAACUCCUUGAACCUGGGAGGUGGAGGUUGUGGUGAGCCAAAAUCACAUCACUGCACUUCAGCCUGGGCAAAAAAGCAAGACUCUAUCUCAAAUAUAUAUAUAUUUUUUUUUCAAUAAAAAGCUAGAAAAAUU